rnacentral:lncRNA from 1 species
GGGAGCUGUCUGCUGUUGAUAGUGGGGAUGCCCAGCUGACGCCUUUAAAUUUCCUCUUUAAAAAGACAGCAUUACCCAGUGACUUUAUCUGAGUUUUCUUUCCUGUUUGCCAUGUCAGCUGUGGCCUUCUCCAUUUCACCUCUGCAUGCCUUUCUGCUUUUUCAAAUGGGGAAAAAGAUAUUGGCGUUGCUUGUAAAACACCUUCAGUGCUACAGAUGAAAAAUGUUUUGUUGCUUUCUAAGUGGUUAUUUUGCAAUUGGUUGCUUUUUGUUUCCUAUUUUGAUCUCUAAUGGGUGAACAUGAUUUCUGAUUUUGUCUUUGUAUUGUCCUUUUGAUUGUGGAGAACCUCUUUCACUUAGUAAAUAAUUUCCUGCUCUUCAAGAGAUGGGAAUGAUGAGGAUGUUAGUGCACCUGAGGCUAAAUGCACAUUUGGGAGUGUAUGCAUCUGAAAAAAGGCUGCUUGGAUUUCACUCGAAUUCUCUGCUUUGUGUGAUUUUCUGCCUGGAUGAAGGGAGGAUAUUGGAUCUGUUGGGCAGCAGUCAUGUUCUUUUCAGCAAAUGCCUGAAGCAGUGGUGGCCCAAAAGGCAGAUGCUUUGUGUGUGGAGUAAGCCAGACUCUGCUUAUGACUCCCCCAGUUACCUAGCUCCUGACAUGGUGUUAGCACACCAUCCUACAGCUUUCCCAAACACCAGGCAGCAAAUCCGAUCACCUCUAUGUAUCCGCAGUGUGCUAAAGACAAAAAUCCCAAAGCACAAAAGUGUUUUACAUUGA